rnacentral:rRNA from 1 species
ACAAGCGGAGGAGCAUGUGGUUUAAUUCGAUGAUACGCGAGGAACCUUACCUGGGCUUAAAUGCUUAAUGACGUACUGGGAAACUGGUAUUUCUUCGGACAUUUUGCAAGGUGCUGCAUGGUUGUCGUCAGCUCGUGCCGUGAGGUGUCGGGUUAAGUCCCAUAACGAGCGCAACCCCUAUUGUUAGUUGCCAUCAGGUCAUGCUGGGGACUCUAACAAACUGCCCGCGUAAGCGUGGAGGAAGGUGGGGAUGACGUCAAAUCAGCACGGCCUUACGUCCAGGGCUACACACGUGCUACAAUGGCCGGUACAGAGGGCAGCCACUUGGUGACAAGGAGCAAAUCUCAAAAGCCGGUCUCAGUUCGGAUCGGAGUCUGCAACUCGACUCCGUGAAGUUGGAUUCGCUAGUAAUCGUAGAUCAGCAAUGCUACGGUGAAUACGUUCCCGGGCCUU